GCACACCUGACUAUCGAGUGCUCCGUGAACAGCAAGCAGUUUGUAACCGGGCGAGGCAAAGUUUGAACAUACUUCUGGGAACAGAAUAAUACAAAAGAACUCACCGGAGAGUCCUUUCAAUUGCAGUCAUGGAUGACGAACCUUUCGAAAUAAUAGAAGAGGAGGAAAUUAAUGCAAUAAGUGAAGAGUUUGAGUCAGGUGGGUUAGCAGCUGCAGCAGCACGAAUUCAGUCCCGGCUUGAUGAACUGGACAGUGUGGAGCUGAACAUAGCUGUGACUGGAGAAUCGGGUUCAGGAAAGUCUACUUUUGUUAACUCCAUCAGGGGUCUGUGUGAUGAAGAUGAAAAUGCUGCUAAGACAGGUGUAACAGAAACUACAACAGAGCCCACCAUGUACUCCUAUCCCAAAUAUCCAAAUGUAAGAUUGUGGGAUCUUCCUGGGAUAGGAACAAUGAACUUUAAAGCCGAUGAAUACCUUGAACAAGUAAAUUUUGCACAGUAUGAUUUCUUCAUUAUAAUUGCUUCAGAUCGUUUUAAACAGAACCAUUUAAUGUUGGCUCAAGAAAUUGAGAAAAUGGGAAAACAUUUUUACUUUGUACGUUCCAAGAUUGAUGCUGACCUGCAUGCUUCUAAGAUACGAAGAAAAUCAACAUUUAAUGAGAAAAAGAUUUUAAUGGAGAUUAGACAGGAUUGCACAGAAUGCCUACAGCCUCUGGAGAAGAAAUGUCCACAGAUCUUCUUGAUAUCAGGCUUUGAUCUGUGUCUCUAUGACUUUCCUCUUUUAGAGGAGACACUUGAGAGGGAACUCCCCGAACACAAAAGGUUUGUUUUUCUGCAAGCCCUUCCAAACAUCUCUUUGAAAAUUUGCCAAAAAAAGAAGAAAGACCUACAUUCCAAAAUAUGGAAGCUCGCUACCCUGUCUUGCGCAGUGGCUGCUAUUCCCAUUCCAGGUUUGUCAGUGGUUUGCGAUGUUACAAUCCUUGUGAGUGAGCUAAAUAAGUACUAUUUUACAUUUAGUCUGGAUGACAAGUCUUUGAAUAGUCUGGCCGUUCGAGUCGAUAAACCCGUAGAGGACCUGAAGUCUGUCAUCCAGUCACCUCUGGCCAAAGAGAUCUCCUCAGAUGUGGUCAUUAAGCUGCUUACCAAGGCUGCAGGCGGAAGUCUGAUGUUUUUUGAAUACCUUGUGAGCACAAUACCAAUAAUAGGCAGCCUUGCUGCUGGCGGCAUCUCCUUUGCUACCACAUACUACAUGCUACAUAACUGUUUAGAAGAGCUAGCGAGAGACGCCAAGAGAGUGUUAGAGAAGGCAUUUGAGUCAGAGCUGUAGCAUGGAAGAAUGUAACCAGAAGAAGAGAACGAGGGGUAUGUACAGCAUAUAUUGUGAUUUCUUAUGUUUUAUUCUUGCUGGUAUGUAAAAAUAAAUGUAAUUGCUGGUUGUGGACCACCUGAAAUUGAAAAUGCAUCUACCAUGGUGAGUGGCAUUUAAUGAGAAGCUGUUAAAGUUGUUUUCCUUCAUAUAUUUGGAGACCACUCUGUACCAAGGUGAUAGUGAUGUGGGGGGGAUCGAGGCACUUCAGCCACUUCAUGUUUACAUCUGAAUUGGAGUAUCUUCUGUGUGAAGGGCUCUUGUUUUCUUUUGUGUCAGAUGUUUUUACUCCAUGGUGCUCCCGUUUUCUAAACACAAUUUAACGAUAUCCCUUUGGUGAGUGUAUAAGGCUGCAAUUCCUACACAAUCUGAAAUGCCUUUUUCAAUAUAUUAAUGUAAAAAUACCCCCUAUAUACAGUAUAUUAAUUGAGUCUGUGAAUAAAACAUGCAGCACGCAUUUAUCAAGAUUCUUACUUACCAAAUUAAGUAAAGGAUUGCUCUGAGCCAGAGACUUAAAUUAUAGUAUGAGUCAUGAGCUUCUCGAUCACAAUUUCAUGAUUACUUUACUGCAUGCUGGUUGUCAGAUGUUGUGGCACAGGUGCCAUAACCUCAAAUGUUAGAUACUAGGAGGCGCCCUUCAUUCCACCAAGUUCCAUAAUUAGAAAUAAUUUUUUAUAUAAAGGGAACUUUUUAUAGCAUAGCGAGCAAGAAGCCAGGACCACUCCAGGCAGUACCAGGUUCAAAGCAUAAACCAAUCCCAUUGCGGACUACUUUCACACAUACUCAUAACCAGCCAGUUCUGAGUUAUCAUUUGACAUAAUUAACAAUUCCACAGAACAAAGUGUAAACUUCACACAGACAAUGUCUGAGCUAUGAAUAAACCCCUGGGCUCCAGAACUGUGGAAAAGCAGCACUGACCAUUGUGACACACUGUCUCUGAAACAUUUGGUUUAAUUGAGUGUCUUAAAAGUUAUCCAUGGAAAAAUAUUAGAUAAAAUUCAGAAAGAUCAUCAUUGCAAUCUAUUGCUUCAUUUUACUUUUCUUACUUGCUAAGAAAAAAAGGAAGCAAAUAAUCUUAAUCGGAAAACACUUAGCAGUCACGUGUUAAUAUAAGGAAGGGAAAAUCGUGAAAAGGCCAGGAAUUUAAGCCAAAGUAAAUGAGGGGUUUAUUUUUUUUCCUGUCUCAUGCAUGUGUCAAGCUGUUCAAGUAAGAAAAAAAUCUUCGGUGUGUGGGUAUCUGAAUCUGUCUAACAUGACAUCUCUUGAUGUUGCUGUCUUAAAUAUUUUAGUUAAUAUUGCUUAUUAAACCCCAUUAUUACUUCAUAAAGUAGUCCAGCCAGUUUUCUGGGCUUGUAAGGGUGAAUGUCUUUGGAUUCUCUCUUGGAAAGAUGAGUUCUUCCAGCAGUAGUUUAAUAUGUACAGUACUCAUGUCUUAUCAUCAUAAAGAAACCAUUUAAGUGAUGUUUUCAGAAGGAAGAAAGCAAAGAGCUGAAUCCAUUUACUAUUUUAUCAGAAGGUAGAACGACACCAGUCAGCUUUUCUGAAAUGACAGUAUGAAAGCCUGAGCGAGUCCGCUAAUUACAUGACAUUUUCCAUUACAUUUAGUUCAGAUUAAGAACGUGUGUUUGACAACAAUUGGGACUCUCCAUGAAAUGAGUCUGAUUCCCCUGUUCUACUGUCUACAGUUGGGUUAUCCAAUUCAAGCUCUGGAGAGCUGCUACUCGGUCAAUGAAUGAUAGAAUAGGAUUGAGUUUUCAGCUGCAAAUACAGUAUAUUAGACUCCUUGAUUCCAAGCAACAACAUGUACUGGAAGAGAGAGUUUAAUAAGGAAAGGAGCAGGAGAUGGAUACAAAACAGAAAUCAAAAAGUCAGGCUGAAGUUCAUAACUGGGAAGACAGGAGAUCUUUCACUAAAUCCUAAUCACUAGACAAACUUGCAGAUCAUUAAUCUUUGCUCCUAUCUGCUUUGUCAAACUCCAAUACAUAAUCCCAAAUUCACCCAGUUGUAAUGAAUUGCGCUUUUAUAUCAUGCUAAAUACAACUUGUAAUGUAUCAUUUGUGUGCUUUAUUUUAGUGUUUUUAUUUUACAAUUUUGUAGAUAAUGACUCUUAAACUCUGUAGAGCUCAUAUGAUGUUCUGUAAUCAAAAUGUUCUGUAACUGAAAUAGCCAGCAUGUGUCAGUGAGCUCUUUUGUACAUUAACAUCCAUAAGGUACCUUACCAGAGUGUUGAAUUUUGGAAGUAGAUAAAAUUCUGGGGUAUAAACAAAGAGAAUGUAAGUGAAAAUUGUUGGAGUGUCAUCUGUAUGUUCAAGUUUAGAUAAAGUAAUCAGUAUAUGUAUGCUUAUAAGAAUGUGAUAUGAAGGCUUGGGACAUUAAAAUGAAUGUGUCUCUUGUGUCUAGCCAAAAGUAACUUAAUCAACUAGACCAGGGAACUUACCGGUUGUCCCAAACUUUAGCCUGAUGCAAUAUCUUGCAUAAGGCAGUCGGGCAAGACACUAAAAAAAAGUAUUUUAAAAAGAAGGCACUAAGAGAGAGGCGUCAUCAUCAUCGGCUAGAAGAGAGGAGACAACUGUUUGCUGUCUAUCAUCCCAACGCCCACUAACAUCACAGCUGAAGCAGAUAACAGACUAUAAACGCUAAAGCGGCCACCUGAUAUGACUUUUGCUGUGUGUCUCUGCUUUAAAUCAUUCAGGUUGUAUGUCUAACAUUAAUGCCUGGGUUUUCUGCAAAUAAAAUAAAAGUAAUUAUAAGAGUAAAA